UAAAAGUGGGCGCCAUUGAUGAGUUAGUCCGUACGCUACGUCGCUACCCCCUUUUUUGGGUUAUAUUUGCUUAUUAGGGUUUUAUUAUGCCCGUCGCCUAGUGUCCUCGUUGUGAAGCAAACGAAUUACAAUAUCCGCGGAAGAAGGUUUAUAUGGUGGAGUUGACAUUGGAGCAAGAAUUAUUCCAAUUGAAAAACUUGUUAGUUGUCAUGCUGGCUUCUGAAGAAUGAACUUUCUUGAAGCUUCUGAAAUAGUGCACAUGGGCCAUUUCUGCUUUUAGGAGUAAUAGUUGGCUGUGGUCAGUUGACCUUGUUUUCCACAAAUCAGUUAGAGAUAUUUGAGAAAUUGCAGACGGUAAUUUAGAAAACCGUGUUAUUUGUUUGAAGGAGCGUUUUGAGAAUUGAACUCUGAGAUAUGUUGCACUCAAAGCAAGAAUCAUACCACUAGACCAAAUGCUCCAUUUACGUGUGCUAAUUGUGUUUGGUGCAUUGAGAACUUGUUCUCAUGAUGAAUACUGCAUGUCAAUUCUUUUAAGCUGUUUCAUUGUAGAUAUUCUAAUGUUAAAAUGAAUGUACGAGUAGUCCAGGUUUUCUGAUUUGUAGAUGUUGUAAUUUUGACAAUUCAUUUAUUUUCUAAAAUUUAUAUGAGCUGUUAUUGAUUGAA